GUGGUAGUCGAGUGGGUAAAACACUUAUAGCUAUUCACUCGAUACCGAAGGUCGAUGGUUCGAUUCCGUCCUGAAGCA
rnacentral:tRNA from 1 species